AUAAAUUGUCAUGCGGUGUA
rnacentral:siRNA from 1 species